GUGCUCGCUUCGGCAGCAUGUAUACUAAAAUUGGAUCGAUACAGAGAAGAUUAGCAUGGCCCCUGUGCAAGGAUAACAUGCAAAUUCGUGAAGCAUUUCAUAUUAAA